UUGUGCCUGGGGGGGGGGGCCCGAAAGAAGGGUCAGAGGCAAGGCAGGACGGCCACGUGGACCUGGGGCCUUCCCUGUUGAGCACAGUUGAGGACUGAAGCCACAGGGGUGACACAUGGCUCCUCUAAACGCACGGGGCAGAGAAGCUCUCCGCCGUGCUCCACACCCAGCCCAGGUGACCGGGAGCUCAGGCAGCCUCUUCCCUCCAAGGACCUUUCCUGCGGAAGAGGGAAAAUCACCCCUGGGCAGCAGGGGCAGGAGUGCAAACAAGCUUCGUGAACAGGGCUGGCUGACGCUGGGCAGCUGGGUGUGGGACCCUGACCCUGACCGUUUUCACAAAUUAAAGAUGAAAUCCUCCCCUUGCGGGGAGGGGGCAGGGAUGUGGGUGUGACCUGGCUUUGGGGGCCUGGCACCCCCACCCCAUCCUCCUGGGGCAGCAGAGCAGGGCACAGGGGGCUCUGUGACAGCCCAGCCCUGUGUUUCCAAGCACAUCCUAAUAUCCUUCCAAAGGACUGAGGCCCCUUUGAGUUUUCCCAGGAGCCAGUAGGGGUAGGUGCUUUGGAGGGAGAGAGGGGAGGGAGGAGGAGGAGAGGGGUUGACUGUCAGCAGCUGAUAACAGGCUGCAAAGGCAGAACCCACAGGGCUGAGCAGGCUCCUCCCUGGACCCAGGAACCAGGAGCGGCCCGGAGGCGGAGGGACCUCUGGGCGCCAGGUCCCCCUGAGUUCCACAUGUGGAAGAGAGCGGGUCGGGGAGCUGACUGGAAAUGCAGAGUCUCAGGCCCCUCUCAGGCCCAGCUCAGACCAGCUGGAUUCCACGCUUUCGUCAGCCAAGCCUGCGGAGGCGCUCCUGAUGGAGGCCUAAUGCAGUGCCAGGGGUCCUCGUUCCUGGCGCCUCGAGGGCCCGUCCAGCCCCAUCCCAGGGUCACUGCUCUGUGUGGGUGGCCCCUCCUGCUUUCAGGACCCCCCCCCCCGGCCAGGACGAGCAGCCCCGGCCUGACCCCCCAUCAGUUUCCAUCUCCAAUCCUGGCUCCCGCCUCUCAGCUCAGUUUCUCUACCUGUAACGUGGGGACGCCUCGGGCGGUACCUUCCUCAGAGCCAGCCGUGAGGGUGGGUAACCGCUAGGACCUGGGCCUCGCAGGACCCACCCCUGCUCUCCUGGGGGGCUCCUGCCACAGCUGCGCUUUGAUGUGACAGGGUGCGGCCUGGUGGCCAGGAUGCCUUUGCUGACCGAGAGGUGGACGGGCAGGUGAAUGCCAGAGUCCCAGUGCCUCGUGGUGCGGUCCUGGGGCAGGGCUGGGCGGGGCCCCUGGACAGGACUUUACUCCUUGCCUGAGGGUGCCCCACCUCUAGCCGCCAGCCAGGAACCCACAGGGGGGAGGGGCACUUUCACUGGAGCCCAGGGUGGGGAACAGAGGCCACCUUCGCCCUGCGGUCAGCAUGGCCGCUCUGGAGCCUGCUGGACCCACCCUCCUUAUCUGUGGGGCGGGUGCAGCCUCUUCCCGCCCCGACUCCAAGGGGGGGAGGUGACCGUUCCAAGCACUAGAAGGACAGCUAGCUAUUGUAGGAGACACUGCUGGUGGCUUCCUAUCCAUUCUCCACCUUUUUCUUGCCUCAUCCCGGAACUGGUCUCCAGCGCAGAUGGCCACGAGGGCCCAGAGACACCAGCUGAUCCACAUGACACCGUCUCCGCAGCGGCUUCCAGUGCUGCCGUGCAGCGUCUGUCCUGACCUGGCUGCCUCCUGCACCGCGGGGUCCGGCCGAGGCUGUAAGGAGCUGCUCUGUGUGCAGAAGAGAGAGCAGAGAUCUUUGGUCCAGGCCAUUCCCCAGGCCCUGUGGCACCCUCGUGAAUUCACACAGGUCGUGAGCCUGACCCGUUCGAGUCCGCCUCCAGCACCGCAGCCAUGAUUCGGCAGGUCUGCCUCCUUCGCUCCUGCAUGGUCCCCGAGUUCUCUAUCCCUUCAUCCGUCCCCAGGUGGCCCCGGUGUUCAUCCUUUGAAACCUGCCUGACCCUUGAUUUUGACCUUCUCUGCAUUUUCAAAUUCAGAAUUCACUGGCUUUAAUUUUUUUUUUUAAUUAAAUUCUUGGGACGCCUGGGUGGCUCAGUUGGUGAAGCGUCUGCCUUCCGCUCAGGUCGUGAUCCCAGGGUCCUGGGAUGGA